rnacentral:lncRNA from 1 species
AUUGGUUCUGAUGGGUCAAUGGGUUUCUGAUGGGUCCAUGGGUUUCUGAUGGGAUCCAGAUUGGUUCUUGAUGGGUCCCAAUGGGUUCUGAUGCGUCCCAAUGGUUCUGAUGGGCAAUGCUGACCCAAUAUUGGUUCUGAUGGGUCCAAUUGGUUCUGAUGGGUCCAAUGGGUUCUGAUGGGUCCAAUGGGUUCUGAUGGGUCCAAUGCUGACCCAAUAUUGGUUCUGAUGGGUCCCAAUUGGUUCUGAUGGGUCCCAAUGGGUUCUGAUGGGUCCCAAGGGUUCUGAUGGGUCCAAUUGGUUUCUCGAUUGGGUCCAAUUUAUGACCAUAUUGGCUUUCUGAUGGGUCCAUUGGCCGCCAUCUUCAGUGUCCAAAGCCAAUGGCUGCCAUCUUGUGUCACCAAUGGCCGCCAUCUUGGGUGUCCAAAGCCAAUGGCCGCCAUCUUGGGUGCAAUCCCAAUGGCCCGCCAUCUUCUGCUGUCAUCAAAGCCAAUUGAUCCAACUGGCAUGGCGCUGUCAUCUGGGAUGUCCAAAAGCCAAAUGGCCGCCAUCUUGUGUCAUCAAAGCCAAUGUCCAAUGGCAAUGGCCACCAUCUUGGGUGUCCUAAGCCAAUGGCCGCCAUCUUGUGUCACCAAUGGCCGCCAUCUUGGGUGUCCAAACCCAAUGGCCGCCAUCUUGUGUCACCAAUAGCCGCCAUCUUGGGUUGUCCAAAUCUCCAAUGGCUGCCAGUUCUUGGCGUGUCCCACAUCCAAUGGCCGCCCAUUUGUG